rnacentral:rRNA from 1 species
GAUGAACGCUGGCGGCGUGCCUAAUACAUGCAAGUCGAGCGAACAGAUGAGGAGCUUGCUCCUCUGACGUUAGCGGCGGACGGGUGAGUAACACGUGGAUAACCUACCUAUAAGACUGGGAUAACUUCGGGAAACCGGAGCUAAUACCGGAUAAUAUAUUGAACCGCAUGGUUCAAUAGUGAAAGACGGUUUUGCUGUCACUUAUAGAUGGAUCCGCGCCGCAUUAGCUAGUUGGUAAGGUAACGGCUUACCAAGGCAACGAUGCGUAGCCGACCUGAGAGGGUGAUCGGCCACAUUGGACCUGAGACACGGUCCAGACUCCUACGGGAGGCAGCAGUAGGGAAUCUUCCGCAAUGGGCGAAAGCCUGACGGAGCACGGCCGCGUGAGUGAUGAAGGUCUUCGGAUCGUAAACCUCUGUUAUUAGGGAAGAACAAAUGUGUAAGUAACUGUGCACGUCUUGACGGUACCUAAUCAGAAAGCCACGGCUAACUACGUG